GACAGAGGGUGCAAGCGUUGUUCGGAAUCAUUGGGCGUAAAGCGCACGUAGGCGGCGAUGCAAGUCGGAUGUGAAAGCCCAGGGCUCAACCCUGGAAGUGCAUCCGAAACUGCAUGGCUUGAGUCCCGGAGAGGGUGGUGGAAUUCCCAGUGUAGAGGUGAAAUUCGUAGAUAUUGGGAGGAACACCAGUGGCGAAGGCGACCACCUGGACGGAGACUGACGCUGAGGUGCGAAAGCGUGGGGAGCGAACGGG
rnacentral:rRNA from 1 species